rnacentral:rRNA from 1 species
AUGGCCGAAGACCACAAGCUGUACUACCGCUCGGGGAGCGGUACUACCGCUUGGGGAGCGGUACUACCGCUCUGCGAGCGGUACUACCGCUUGAGUGCUUCGGCGGUACUACCGCUGUGGACCGCGGUACUACCUCUGGCGCCAUCCUUAAGCCACUACCGCGAAAACAACGUAUACUCCAAGGAAACCAAAACUGCCAUAACUUCUGCAAAUGAGCUCCAAAUUGAGCAAACUCAAGCUUGUUAUAGUAAGAAGAGGCAGGGGAGCCAAACAAGAACCAAUAAAGAUGAUGCAAGGAUGAAAUGGGUUGAGCUCUCUACAAACGAUACGAUCAAGCAACUCAUCGAGAGCCCCCCUUGA